UUAAGUGAAUAAGGGCGUACGGUGGAUGCCUAGGCACUUGGAACUGAAGAAGGACGCAACAAACGGCGAAACGCGACGGGGAGUGGUACGUACACAAAGAUCCGUCGAUAUCCGAAUGGGGAAACCCGGCAGCAGUAAUGAGCUGUCACCCAUGAGUGAAUACAUAGCUCAUGAGGGAGGUACCCGGAGAACUGAAACAUCUAAGUAUCCGGAGGAAAAGAAAAUAAGAAUGAUUCCGUAAGUAGCGGCGAGCGAACGCGGAGGAGCCCAAACCAGAUCUUGAUCUGGGGUUGUAGGACCACGAAAUGGCAAGAGCAUGGCUAAGAGAACGGCAUUGAAAGGCCGACCGGAGAGGGUGCAAGUCCCGUAACUGAAAGCAAUGUGAAGCCUAGUGGUAUCCUGAGUACGGCGAGACACGAGAAAUCUUGUCGGAAGCAGGCGGGACCAUCCGUCAAGGCUAAAUAUACCCAAGUGACCGAUAGUGAACCAGUACCGUGAGGGAAAGGUGAAAAGAACCGCGGGAGCGGAGUGAAAUAGAACCUGAAACCGUAUGCUUACAAGAAGUCAGAGCCCGUUAAAGGGUGAUGGCGUGCCUUUUGUAGAAUGAACCGGCGAGUUACGUUAUCGUGCGAGGUUAAGUAGAAGAUACGGAGCCGAAGCGAAAGCGAGUCUUAAUAGGGCGACAGUACGAUGAUGUAGACCCGAAACCGUGUGAUCUAGCCAUGACCAGGUUGAAGUUCAGGUGAAACUGAAUGGAGGACCGAACCGACCCCCGUUGAAAAGUUGGCGGAUGAGUUGUGGCUAGGGGAGAAAUUCCAAUCGAACACGGAUAUAGCUGGUUCUCCCCGAAAUAGCUUUAGGGCUAGCGUCGAGGUAGAGUCGCAUGGAGGUAGAGCACUGAAUGUACGAUGGCCCCAUCCCGGGGUACUGAGUAUAAUCAAACUCCGAAUGCCAUGAAGACGUACUCGGCAGUCAGACUGUGGGUGAUAAGGUCCAUGGUCAAAAGGGAAACAGCCCAGACCGCCAGUUAAGGUCCCAAAAUGUAUGCUAAGUGGAAAAGGAUGUGGGGAUGCACAGACAACUAGGAGGUUGGCUCAGAAGCAGCCAUCCUUCAAAGAGUGCGUAACAGCUCACUAGUCGAGUGACCCUGCGCCGAAAAUGUACCGGGGCUAAGCAUACUACCGAAGCUGCGGAUUCAACUUCAGAGUUGAGUGGUAGGGGAGCGUUGCAUGCACGUAGAAGCCGUACCGUAAGGAGCGGUGGAGAGCAUGGAAGAGAGAAUGCCGGUGUGAGUAGCGAGAUGUAGGUGAGAAUCCUACACACCGAUAGCCCAAGGAUUCCAGGGGAAGGUUCGUCCGCCCUGGGUAAGUCGGGACCUAACGCGAGGCCGAAAGGCGUAGUGGAUGGAAAACAGGCAGAUAUUCCUGUACCCGCGAUGGAAAUGAAGGAAUGACGGAGAAGGCUAGUGUGAGCCACUGAACGGAUUGUGGUCAAAGCAUAUAGCAGGCUGACAGUGAAAUGCGUCAGCGGGAUGUAAGAUGUGACAGGUAAGGGAACGUCCUUGGACAAGUACUGAAGCACAUGAUGCCAGCUUCCAAGAAAAGUUUCUAGUGAUAAUUCCAUAGCGGCCCGUACCAAAACCGACACAGGUGGGCAAGGAGAGAAUCCUGAGGUGAGCGAGAGAACUGUUGCCAAGGAACUCGGCAAAAUGACUCCGUAAGUUAGCGAUAAGGAGUGCUCUUGUAAAAGAGAGCCGCAGUGAAGAGGCCCAAGCGACUGUUUAACUAAAACACAGCUCUCUGCAAAGUCGCAAGACGAAGUAUAGGGGGUGACGCCUGCCCGGUGCUGGAAGGUUAAGAGGAUUUGUCAUCCGCAAGGAGAAGCAAUGAAUUGAAGCCCCAGUGAACGGCGGCCGUAACUAUAACGGUCCUAAGGUAGCGAAAUUCCUUGUCAGGUAAGUUCUGACCCGCACGAA
rnacentral:rRNA from 1 species